UACGUAGGGUGCAAGCGUUUGUCCGGAAUUAUUGGGCGUAAAGAGCUUGUAGGCGGUUUGUCGCGUCUGCUGUGAAAUUUCGGGGCUCAACCCCGAACUUGCAGUGGGUACGGGCAGACUAGAGUGUGGUAGGGGAGACUGGAAUUCCUGGUGUAGCGGUGAAAUGCGUAGAUAUCUGGAGGAACACCGGUGGCGAAGGCGAGGUGCUGGACCCUUUCUGACGCUGAGGCGCGAAAGCCAGGGUAGCGAACGGG
rnacentral:rRNA from 1 species